CCGCGCUGAGAGCUUUGAGGCCGAGGGUCAAGCGGUCCUGGGAGACGCUGGCCGCUCUAGAGCCUGCUUCCAGAUGGAAAAAAGUAGGGGACAGGAAAUGAAGCAAAACAAGUUGUCACCGCUCUCAUGUGAGGGUUGGGAUCAAGAUAAUGGAAUAACGGGACGUGGAACUCACCUCUCCCUCAUGAAGAUAUUAAAAAUAUCUCCAUAUGAUGAAAAUUUUCACUGGGAGCUGGCAGAAGGACUUCUGUACAACCAAUACUAAUUCAUCUGUGGACAAUCUUAACCCAGAAAUUUGCUUGUAAAUAGAAUUUUGAUAACAAAUUUAACUCCUGUAUUGAA